rnacentral:misc_RNA from 1 species
ACACCUCAACCCUCGUGGUUUGCCACGACCGGCUUGGACUUUGGAGGUUUUGCUGGCCCCUGUGGUCAGCUCCUCUCAAAUGAAUCAGCUUACCAGUGUUUGGUGGCGUCGCAGGUGUGAUAACUAUCUACGCUUGCGGCCGUCUGCCACGUAACCUUCAGUGAUGAGGGUUCGCUGGGGCUCACAGAUGUCUCUCCUGAGUGAAGACAGCUUUUUGAUCGU